GCCAGGUUAACCAAGUGGUAUGGUGACUGUCUCGAAAACAGUUGUGCAUUUGCAUUCAAGGGUUCGAAUCCCUUACCUGGCG
rnacentral:tRNA from 1 species